UACGGGGGGAGCAAGCGUUGUUCGGAUUUACUGGGCGUAAAGGGCGCGUAGGCGGCCAGCACAAGUCAGUUGUGAAAUCUCCGAGCUUAACUCGGAAAGGUCAACUGAUACUGUGCGGCUAGAGUGCGGAAGGGGCAACUGGAAUUCUUGGUGUAGCGGUGAAAUGCGUAGAUAUCAAGAGGAACACCUGCGGCGAAGGCGGGUUGCUGGGCCGACACUGACGCUGAGGCGCGAAAGCGUGGGGAGCGAACGGG
rnacentral:rRNA from 1 species